CACGCUAUUAGUCAGUGGGUGCUGCAGCCAGCCUCAUGCCCCACACGUCCCGUGGCUCAAAGACCAGGGCACUUUCCACUGCUCUCAACUGUCUCCUGCCUAGGAAAAUGCUUUUCUGGACAGAGGGAGUCACAGACAGAUGUGCUGUUGGCAUCGACUUCCUGUCAUUGGGCAACAGCUUCCGCCAUCUGGCCCAGGUUGACGUCAGCUCUCUGGGUUUCUGCCAGGGUUCUCUGGCCCAGGAAGCAGACUUCCGGCCGGCCAGGCUCUGAGCCGUCCCCGGCCUCCUGGAGGAGUGGGUCUCUCAACUGGCCAAGAGAAGAACUGAGAAAUCAGAUCUCAAGGAAGAUUGCUCUCUAGGAAAUCAGUAAACGUGGAGGCGUGGAGAUCGGGGACCCUGGGUAGGGGGAGCUCAGAAUCUUUGAGAGCCCCACAUCCGUCUGUAUCAAGCUGGAGGAGACGUACUUAGUGCUGGGGCAGCUGUUGUGUGCUCACUAGGAGGCCAUGCUCCAGGGGAGGAGAGACCCCUGUCUGACCUGUAACAAAAAGCACCAGAGGUCUUGGUUCCUGCCCACGCGACCACCUGCUGAGAAACACAGGCAGUUUGGGGAAACUGGGUGGUCUCCUCCCAACAACCACAACCCGCAGACGCCUGGUCUACCAUGGAUCACGCCUGCGGCUCAGGACAAAGGGGCGUUCUCACCAGGCAGGAGUCUUCACGGCCAAGCGAGGCGAGUGGAAGUGUCAGAUCUGCAGGUGCCACGCGCACUGUCCUCAAUACCCCUCCAGCAAGGAGACACAGCCACAGUAGUACAGCCACGACCCUGCUGUUCCUCCAUGGAGGUGAUUCUACAUAGGACUGGGGGCUGCUACAGAGUUAAGUCUCAUUGUUAAUUUUAUGGUUUUAGGGUGUGUGUAUGCGUUCGUGCUCUUGCACCUUGGUCAAGUCGAUGCACACAACUCACGCACGGGCUUCCGGAUAGGAGCAGCAGCUGGUUGGACACAGCUGCAGGAAGGCUUGUGCCGCUUAUUACCGCACAGAAUGGUAGAAGACACAAUGAUCCAUACCUUUUUUUUUUUUUUUUAAAGAUUUUAUUUAUUUAUUUGAAACUCAGAGAGAGAUCUUCCAUCUGCUGAUUCACUCCCCAAAUGGCUGCAACGGCCAGGGUUGGGCCAGGCUGAAGCCAGGAGCCUGGAGCUUCACCUGAGUCUCCCACGUGGGUGGCAGGGUGAGGCCAUAUUCAGCCGCCUUCUCAGACCAUUAGCAGGAGCUGGGUGGGAAACGGAGCAGCCGGACAUGAAUGAGCCGGGAUGCGGCACUGCAGGUGAAGCUAUACUUUACUAGUGAUAAGGGAGCUGGGGUGGAACUGGUGCUGUACCAUUCCUUUGCUGUCACUGAGGAAUAGCCCCCACCCCCACCUCCCACCACCCCACCCACGGCAUCUUGUUGUUCUUAUCAUAAGGGUUUGUGACAGCCCUUAGACUUUAUCUGCAGAGUGGCCUCUUGGGCGCACAGAUGGCAGCUUCCUUCCGAGACACCAGGAGACUCAAGAUGGCACCACUGUGGCUUGCUGUGGCACAGAUGAAAGAACCUCUGUUCAUUGUGUUCUGAGGUCUUUGGCCCUCUGGUGACCUCUGACCUCUGACCUUGGCACCUUUGCUAGGCUUGUAUGACCUUUCAGUUGUUGUGUAUGACUGUCAGUGUGUGAAAUAGGAAACAGCUAAGAGACGUGCUCCUGAGACGUGUCGGCGAGACUGUCCUUGAGAGACGGAAGCGAGCAGCCAGUACCUAGUAGGCCUUUGAGGGUAUCAUUUUUUUUUAAAAGAUUCAUUUAUUUUACUUGAAAGUCAUAGUUACACAGAGAGAGAAGAAGGGGCAGAGAGAGAGAGAGAGAGGUCUUCCAUCCACUGGUUCACUCCCCAAUUGGCUGCAAUGGCCGCAGCUGCACCAAUCCGAAGCCAGGAGCCAGGAGCUUCUUUCAGGUCUCCCAUGUGGGUGCAGGGGCCCAAGGACUUGGACCAUCUUCUACUGCUUUCCCAGGCCACAGCAGAGAGCUGGAUCGGAAGUGGAGCAGCCAGGAUAUGCCCAUAUGGGGAUGCCGGUACCUCAGGCGGUGGCUUUACCCGCUACAUCACAGCGGCGGCCUCUUUGAGGGUAUCAUUUUUAGGAUAAUUAUUUUUGAAUUUUUGAAGUCCACAUACAGUUUUUGUCAUAAUACACAAUUUCGUAUUGUAUUAUUAAACUUUUACUUGAAAGAGAGACAGAUAUUUCAUCCACUAGUUCAUAUCCCAAAUGUUUGUAACAGCCAGGGCUGGGCCAGGCGGAAGCCAGGAGCCAGGACCUCCGUCUCAUGUGGGUGGCAGAGACCCAAGUGCUUGCCCCAUCAUCUGCUGCCUCCCAUGAUGGAUAGACUCAAAUCCAUACACUCUUGGGAUCGGCACUGUGUGUGGUAUAUCGGAUAAAGCAGCUGCUUGCAGUGCCAGCAUCCCAUAUGGGCGCCGGUUUGAGUCCUGGCUGUUCCACUUCCGAUCCAGCUCUCUGCUGUGGUCUGGGAAAGCAGUGGAAGAUGGCCCAAGUCCUUGGGCCCCUGCACUCGCACGGGAGACCUGGAAGAAGCUCCUGGCUCCUGGCUUUGGAUCGGCACAGCUCAGACCAUUGUGGCCAAUUGGGGAGUGAACCAGUGGAUGGAGGACCUCUCUCUCUUUCUCUGCCUCUCCUUCUCUCUCUGUGUAACUAUGACUUUCAAAUAAGUAAAUAAGAUCUUAAAAAAAAAAUCCAUGCACUCUGAUGCAGGAUGUGAGCCUGCAAGGCAGUGGCUUAACCCCC